UACGUAGGGUCCGAGCGUUGUCCGGAGUUACUGGGCGUAAAGCGCACGUAGGCGGUCUUUUAAGUCGGGGGUGAAAUCCUGGAGCUCAACUCCAGAACUGCCUUCGAUACUGGAAGACUUGAGUCCGGGAGAGGUGAGUGGAACUGCGAGUGUAGAGGUGAAAUUCGUAGAUAUUCGCAAGAACACCAGUGGCGAAGGCGGCUCACUGGCCCGGUACUGACGCUGAGGUGCGAAAGCGUGGGGAGCAAACAGG
rnacentral:rRNA from 1 species